GCCCCGCUCAGAAACUCAAAAGGAAUUGCCGGGGGCCCGGCCACAAGCGGUGGAGCAUGUGGUUUAAUUCGAUGAUACGCGAGGAACCUUACCUGGGCUCAAAUGUAUGUUGACGUAUUCUGAAAGGGAUACUUCUUCGGACAAUAUACAAGGUGCUGCAUGGUUGUCGUCAGCUCGUGCCGUGAGGUGUCGGGUUAAGUCCCAUAACGAGCGCAACCCCUAUCAUUAGUUGCCAUCAGGUCAAGCUGGGGACUCUAAUGAAACUGCCUACGCAAGUAGUGAGGAAGGUGGGGAUGACGUCAAAUCAGCACGGCCCUUACGUCCAGGGCUACACACGUGCUACAAUGGCCGGUACAAAGGGCAGCUACCUGGUGACAGGAUGCUAAUCUCAAAAGCCGGUCUCAGCUCGGAUUGCAGUCUGCAACUCGACUGCAUGAAGUUGGAAUCGCUAGUAAUCGCGGAUCAGCCAAGCCGCGGUGAAUACGUUCCCGGGCCUU
rnacentral:rRNA from 1 species